rnacentral:rRNA from 1 species
AUUGAACGCUGGCGGCAGGCCUAACACAUGCAAGUCGAACGGUAACAGGAAGCAGCUUGCUGCUUUGCUGACGAGUGGCGGACGGGUGAGUAAUGUCUGGGAAACUGCCUGAUGGAGGGGGAUAACUACUGGAAACGGUAGCUAAUACCGCAUAACGUCGCAAGACCAAAGAGGGGGACCUUAGGGCCUCUUGCCAUCGGAUGCGCCCAGAUGGGAUUAGCUAGUAGGUGGGGUAACGGCUCACCUAGGCGACGAUCCCUAGCUGGUCUGAGAGGAUGACCAGCCACACUGGAACUGAGACACGGUCCAGACUCCUACGGGAGGCAGCAGUGGGGAAUAUUGCACAAAGGGCGCAAGCCUGAUGCAGCCAUGCCGCGUGUAUGAAGAAGGCCUUCGGGUUGUAAAGUACUUUCAGCGGGGAGGAAGGGAGUAAAGUUAAUACCUUUGCUCAUUGACGUUACCCGCAGAAGAAGCACCGGCUAACUCCGUG